rnacentral:rRNA from 1 species
CAGUCGCCGCGGGAAUACGUAGGUCCCGAGCGUUGUCCGGAUUUAUUGGGCGUAAAGCGAGCGCAGGCGGUUUGAUAAGUCUGAAGUUAAAGGCUGUGGCUCAACCAUAGUUCGCUUUGGAAACUGUCAAACUUGAGUGCAGAAGGGGAGAGUGGAAUUCCAUGUGUAGCGGUGAAAUGCGUAGAUAUAUGGAGGAACACCGGUGGCGAAAGCGGCUCUCUGGUCUGUAACUGACGCUGAGGCUCGAAAGCGUGGGGAGCGAACAGGAUUAGAUACCCCUGUAGUCCCUGUCUCUUAUACA